rnacentral:lncRNA from 1 species
AGUAAUUACCAUUUGCAUUAAACUUCCAUGUGAUUUCAUCUUGGACACCCAGGCACAGAGCCACCUGCUGAACAACUUGCCACAGAUGGACGAAUUCUUGGAAGUGAUGUACAGAGAAACUAUUGUGGUGUAUAUUGAUGUCCCGGAUCUAAGUUCGAUUGAGAAGCGCAUCCCGUAGGCUCUUGUUUUUCCUCUUUGAGAUCGAGAAAAUACCUGGCGCUAUGUCCUUUGGCCUUUGACCUUGUACCCAGACGCUAUUCCAAAAAGAAGUCUUUGCUCCAUCGCCUACGUCGAUGCGUGUGCAUGCCGCAAAUAGUUUCCUAUCCGUGUUGUUGCACGGAACCUCGGAGCCCACCCAAAGCUUGUCUUCCGCUUUCCACUCAUGCCAAAGCCAUCUGAGCCUAGUUCUCUUGCAAACUUGUAGAUGUUUAAAAUACCUACUCCCCC